GACGAACGCUGGCGGCGUGCCUAAUACAUGCAAGUCGAACGCCCAGUUAAUACCAUCGCUUGCUUCACCAUAAACUGUGAGUUGCGAACGGGUGAGUAACGCGUAGGUAACCUGCCUGGUAGCGGGGGAUAACUAUUGGAAACGUUAUCUAGUACCGCAUAUUCUUGAUUAUUGCAUGAUAAUUGAUUGAAAGCUCCUAUUGCAUCGCUACUAGCUGGUCCUGCGUUGUAUUAGCUAGUAGGGGAGGUAACGGGCCACCUAGGCGACGAUACAUAGCCGACCUGAGAGGGUGAGCUGCCACACUGGGACUGAGACACGGCCCAGACUCCCACGGGAGGCAGCAGUAGGGAAUCUUCGGCAAUGGACGAAAGACUGAGCGAGCAACGCCGCGUGAGUGAAGAAGGGUUUCGGAUCGUAUAGCGCUGUUGUAAGAGAAGAGCGGAGGUGAGAGUUGAAAGUUCACACUGUGACGGGAUCUUACCAGAAAGGGACGGCUAACUACGUU
rnacentral:rRNA from 1 species